rfam:Solanum tuberosum cultivar DM 1-3 516 R44 scf00235_55, whole genome shotgun sequence.
AUGAGAUGGAAUCAGCGUUUGGACAUGUGAUUUUACGUUGAUUCCAUCUCAUGA